GGGCUUCAGCACUUUCACGGUCUCCCGGCUGGGCCGCAGGGACCCCCGUGCACGCCUGGGCUGGGCCCCGGUGUCCCCGCAGCCGCGGGAGAUCCAGAAUGAGCACGUCCGGGUGCUGUUUGACCCCCUCACUGGACACCUCAAGGAGAUCCAGAACCUGGACAAGAGCAUAUCGCUGCCCGUCUUCCAGAGCUUCUACUGGUACAACGCGAGCACCGGGAACGAGGAGAAUUCCCAGGCCUCGGGCGCCUACAUCUUCCGGCCCAACAGUUCUGAGCCCUUCCCCGUCUCCGGCUCCAAGCAGGUCCCCACGUACCUAGUGAAGGUGAGUCAUGGGGCUGGGGGCUUCCCCGGGGGUGUCCCCGGGGCGGUGGCCCUGA
ensembl:lncRNA